CUCGUGCAUCUGGAGUAUAAGGAGGACAACACGUGCCUGUUGGAGGCGACUCGAGCAACGCAGGCCAGCAGCGAACUAGAUCUGACAUAGAAGACCACGUUCAUCAGAUUCGAAAGUGAUCUUCUUCCAAUGGCUCUAAUGGUAAUUAAUAACCUCUUUUUGUGCUUCACCUUGUUCUUAUAUAUGAUGUACAGAGAAUGUAGUUGUGUCAAGUUUGCUGACAUCCCCGUGCUGCAACUGAUUUGGUAUAUUUGGUUAAUCGUAACCAGCAAAGAGGAGUCGUCACAUACGUGCCUUCUAUUAUUUAUGUGGUUGUAUGAAGUGUUCCUUCAACUAAUCAAGCAACCUGACAUUAGUACUUUGUUUAGUUAAUAUCACUCUCAUCAGAGAGUAUGAUAUCAUUUAGCUAGCCUCUUUUCUUUGCGGGAUAGUGUAAAGGUUAGAAAUGGGUAACGAAAAGAGUGUUCUCAUUUUACUGCCCCUGGAUUUAGGGAAUAUAUAUGCGUAUAUAUUGAUGCAUCGUUGCCAUGUCUGGCUCUUCAGGUGUGUGC